GUCUCGCUCUGUCACCCAGGUUGGAGUGCAGUUGCGUGAUCUCGGCUCACUGCGGUCUCCAUCUCCCAGGUUCAAGCAAUUCUCUUGCCUCAACCUCCCGAGUAGCUGGGAUUACAGGUGCCCACCACCACGCCCGGCUAAUUUUUAUAUUUUUAGUACAGACAGGGUUUCACCAAGAUGUCCAGGCUGGUCUUAAACUCCUGACCUGAGGUGAUCUGCCUGCCUCGGCCUCCUAAAGUGCUGGGAUUACAGGUGUGAGCCACUGCACCCGGCCACCACUUCUAUUUAUCAUUGUCCUGUAGAAAAAUAAGCAAAUGACAAACCAGGUAUUUUCAGAGGAUAUGACUGAACACAUGAAAAGAAGUUUUACCUUGUAAGUGAUUGGCUAAUUAAAACCAUAAUUAAUAACAUUUUACAUUCAAUAGAUUGAAAAAUUAAGGAAUACAACAAUACCAAUAAAGAUGAUGUGCCUCAGUCUUUCACACUGCAGAUAGGAUUUUGAACUGAUAGACUCUGAGCUCAGAAAGCAAUUUGGCACUAUCUCUUAGAGUUAAGAAUUCACGUACACUAACCAUUCUACCUCUACAUAAAUGCCUUAGAGAAAUUCUUGGAUAUGUGUACCUCAAGAGUACACAUGUGAGAAUGCUUGUGGCAGCCCUGUUUUUAAUUACUCAAAUGUCCGUUGACAACAAAAAACAAAUUACGGGUUUUGUAAUUUUAUUCAGCAGGGAGAAUGACCUACAUACAACAACCCAGAGUAAUCUUAAAAAUGAUAAAGCAAGUCUCAGAAGUCUACAUACAGUAUGCUACAGUUUUUAUAAAGCUAUAAAAGAAACCUAAACUGUAUUAUGUAGGAAUAUGUAUAUUUGUGAUAAAACUUUUUCUUUUAAAGGAGUCAUAAAACUCAGGAUAGUGGCAAGGUGUAACACAUGAAUACAUAAAACAAUAUUAGUGAUACUUUCGUUCUUGAGUAAUGGGUUUCUUGAUCUUCAUUUCAUUUACUUAAUGGCACUAACAUAAAUUUUGGGUGGGGUUGUCUGUUACUAACAAACUACCCUCAAACUUAAUUAGCUUAAAAUAACAACCAUUUCACUUGCCUCAAUGCUGUGAGUUGAUAGGAAUCAGCUGGGUGGUUUUGCGCCACAUGAUGGUGACUUUAGCUGCAGUUAUCUAGGGGCUGGAUUGGGCUUGAAACAUCUGAGAUACUCAUGCACAUGAUUGGCAGUUAAUGGUGGCUAUCAGCUGGGAAUUCAGCUGCCACAUCUCAGUUUAUGUGGCUUCUCCAUGGGACUUGGAGUUCUUCCAGUCGUGGUGGCUGGGCUUGCUAUCAUUUAUGGCUGGGAUCCAAGAAGCAGCAUCCCAAGUAUAAGCAUUUCAAGAAGAGGAAAGUAGAAGCUAAGUCCUUUUGGGGCCUUAGCUUGGAAAUCCCAGAACAUUAUUUUCACCACAUUGUAUUGGUCAAAGUAAUCUACAGGGUCAGCCUAGAUUAAAGAAAAAAAAAAAAAACCCCUUUUUGAUGGGAAGGGGUCAUGCAUACACGAGCAAGAAAGAAAUUGAUGGCAGAAAUCUUUGGUAGUUACAAUGUACCCCCUGGUCAUAGUAAUUUGUGUUCCUGAUGGAAAAUUAUUUCACUACCUCCUAGGAAACCUUAAAGUCUCAUCUCAAUAUGACAUCAAGUUCAAGCUCAAGACCCAGAAUCUCAUGAUCUAAACCAGUUUCAGUAACAUAUGAGGCACCUUUACUACAGUUUCCCUCAAUCCGAAGAUGUGUGAAACUAAAGACAAGUUUUCUUUCCCAUAUUCACCCAGCCUACGAUGAUUUCUAUAAAAUUGUCAAGGUCAUCUUCCAAGAGUGAAGGAUGAUGAAAAUAAAGAUUUGUAAGAAGUAUUGCAAAGAAUGGAAUAUCAAGUGGCCAAAGAAAAAUCGUGGAAUUGCCAGAGAGUGGUAAAAAUCCUUCUGAGAGUCCUACCCACUGUAUUAGUUGUUAGAGUUGUGGAACUUAACCGAAGCUUUCUCUGGAUUCCAGAUGUUUUAAGAAUAUUUUCAGCUGCAUGGCUUGACAGCCUUGGGAUUCCCUCACACAUUCACAGUCUUUUUUGGAUCAGUCUGAUGUGAGCAUGAAAACUGGGAGUUGUGGAGCCCACUUAGGAAAUGAUUGCAAUUGUCCAGGAGACAGAUGAUGGUAAUUAAGUUUCCAUCAGCCUGGAACUCAGGACAGAAGAUACAUAUUCUGUAUGUAGAGAAUCACUGGAGGUCAAAUGUCUUUGCCAAUUUGAGUUUUUCCACUUGAACAAGAAAAGACUGUCAAGGGAAAGCCAAUCAAUUUCACAAUGUUUAGCCUUAGAGCCACUCAACAGUCCUGUUUGGGCCAGUCUCCUGGAAUAUGAGAAAAGAUGAAGAAUGGGAGUGUUAUGGAGGGCAUACGCCCCUCUGAUCAUCACCACAAAGAGUGGAGCCCUUCAUGGUCCCAGCUGAAAGCCUGGAGAGGCUGCGCGCGGUGGCUCACGCCUGUAAUCCCAACGCUUUGAGAGGCCAAGGCAGGUGGAUCACUUGAGCGCAGGAAUUCAAGACCAGCCUGGGCAACAUGGCAAAACCCCAUCUCUACAAAAAGUACAAAAAUUAACCGGG
rnacentral:lncRNA from 1 species